AAAAAUCGAACCUGUGGUGCAGGACAGGAUCCUGUGCCCUAUAUGACUUCUCUGAUUCACAAACUCUAAGAAUGGUUUACUGUGGAGCAGUUGGAAGACUAUUUGAAUUUUGCAAACCACCUCUUGUGGGUUUUUACACCAUUAACACUUCUAAUACUUCCUUACUUUACUAUCUUUCUUCUCUACCUUACUAUUAUUUUCCUACACAUUUAUAAGAGAAAGAACGUAUUAAAAGAAGCCUACUCUCAUAAUUUAUGGGAUGGUGCAAGGAACACGGAGGCUAGUCUGUGGGAUGGGCAUGCAGCAGUUUGGCAUGGUAAGCGAGGAUGCUUUCAUCUCUGUGUUGCCAUUCAUGUGUGCUGCAUUGGAACUGUGUUACCAUGCCAUUUUAUUG
rnacentral:lncRNA from 1 species